rnacentral:lncRNA from 1 species
UGAUCAUCAUGGCUUGGAGAAACAAUGAAGGAAGCAAAGUAUGCCAUCUAUGCUGCGGGAGGUAACUCCAGAAGACCCCAGAGAGAACGAGUUUGGACUUUUAACUGAGGGCCAUUGGAAACUACUGAAGAGUUUUAGGCAGCAUAAGAACUACUAGAUUUUCAUUGUGGGAGGAUCCUCAGCAGCAGCCUCAGAAAGGAGAUUGGGGAAGGAGAUCCCUAGUCAGGGAGACCAAGAAGACUACUGGAAAAAAACAGGGGAAUCCUCAAGGACCUGCAAACAAGAAACCAAAUCCCC